CUGAGUUUUUAACUCUCCAAACCAUGUGAACUUACCACUGUUGCCUCGGUGGUUAGCGUCUCCCCUCGGGGGGGCGCUGCCGCCGGUGGACAAACUAAACUCUUGUCAACUUUGUCAAAUCUGAAUCUAAACUAAGAAAUAAGUUA
rnacentral:misc_RNA from 1 species